UUAGCUGCUUCCAUGUGUUACACUUACACUUAUCAAUGCAGUUUCCUCAGUUGUCGUUUUAUAUAUAUAUACUCCGAUGAGCCAAAUCUGUUUUAAUUAGUAGUAAUAAAUUUAGGUUCAGAGAGACGUAGAGGAAGAGAUGGAUGGUCCAGAUUAUGAAGAAAUGUCAUAUACUGAUCAUCUCAAGAGGCGCCAUGAAGACAAAGGCUUCCUCUAUGCUUGUUUGUUUGCAGUUUGUUGCUGUUUUUGCUGCUUUGAGACGUGUGAAUGUUGCUUAAACAUUCUCUGCUGCUGCUGCUAGUGCUAAUUACUUUCUUUCUCAUCUCGAUCUUCUCACUAGCGUCCCUUUUGUUCAGUACAAAAGAAUGAUUAAAUUUCAAUCAAGUGUGUGUGUGUGUGUAUCUCUUUAAAUUUCAAUCUAGUGUGUGUAUCUGUUUUUCUGAUAAAGUAUCUUCUCUAUCAGUGUUUCCAUCUCUGAUUAUGCUAAUAAAUCCACAGCCGAAAGACUGUGCUUACCUAUGUUGCACCAAAAUUUCUCCAGUCCUAUAUUUCGCAAAUACCGCACGUAUACUGGAGAAGAGGAAGAACAAGGUGUUUGCAAGGAAAAAAAUUAUAUGAACCUAAUUCACCAUAUACUACUGUAAAUAUUCAUUAAUUACUAUGCGACAUGUAUUAUUAAAUAUAACAGCCAAUCAUUAGAGAACAUUAAAUUCUUUAAAAUAUCACCAACUAAUGUAAAAUUGAUUGAUCAGUUAAUUGCAUUCAAUAAUGUCACUUGUCA